UGGGGAAUCUUGCGCAAUGGGCGAAAGCCUGACGCAGCCAUGCCGCGUGAGUGAUGAAGGCCUUAGGGUUGUAAAACUCUUUCACCGGGGACGAUAAUGACGGUACCCGGAGAAGAAGCCCCGGCUAACUUCGUGCCAGCAGCCGCGGUAAUACGAAGGGGGCUAGCGUUGCUCGGAAUUACUGGGCGUAAAGGGCGCGUAGGCGGAUCAGCAAGUUGGGGGUGAAAGCCCGGGGCUCAACCUCGGAAUUGCCUUCAAAACUGCUGAUCUAGAGUACGGGAGAGGUGUGUGGAACUCCGAGUGUAGAGGUGAAAUUCGUAGAUAUUCGGAAGAACACCAGUGGCGAAGGCGACACACUGGCCCGUUACUGACGCUGAGGCGCGAAAGCGUGGGGAGCAAACAGGAUUAGAUACCCUGGUAGUCCACGCUGUAAACGAUGAUUGCUAGUUGUCGGCAGGCAUGCCUGUCGGUGACGCAGCUAACGCAUUAAGCAAUCCGCCUGGGGAGUACGGUCGCAAGAUUAAAACUUAAAGGAUUGACGGGGUCAUAGCUGUUUCCU
rnacentral:rRNA from 1 species